AGGAUCAUUACUGAGUUAUCAAAAACUCCAACCCUUUGUGAACCUACCUAUGUUUCCUCCGGCGUACCGCUUUAGCCUACCCACAGGGCUCCCCCAAGGGGGGGUUCUGCUGGGGAGGUGCCUGAGUGCUACCUAUCCUUCGGGGUACGGUUAGUGCAGCGAAGGUGCCGACCAAGGCCUCGGCGGCGCCGAGUAGGACCGCUCCAAACUUAAGCACCUAGUGCAUCCAACCCCGCGUUGAACAACUAUCGAAAAUCUGCUUUUGCCUUUUUUCUUUACGCUAAAACGUCUUUCCCGGUUGGAAUUAUUGCUCGAGAUGCCCUAAAAGACUGAUCGUAAGCACUGUAGGAUGCGUGGAAUGUGUGAAAUGUCCCUCUCGUAGUGUCCUUUCCACUUCGCUCAAACGUGUUUCCCGGUUGGAAUUUUUGCUCGAAAUAAUAAUUUCUUUACCCUGUAGUCGUUUGUUUUCAAGCUCUAAUAUCUGCUCGAAUAUAAUACCUGCUUCAAUAUUUGCUCGAAAAUUGUUCAAAGCUCUGAGGGGUCUGAAUGAAUUCAUAAAAUUGGCAAAAGCCACCUAUAAACUACGGUUUUUAGGGGGUGAUCAAACCAAGGUUUUAAAAACCAAAUACGUUAAAACUUUCAACAACGGAUCUCUUGGUUCUGGCAUCGAUGAAGAACGCAGCGAAAUGCGAUAAGUAAUGUGAAUUGCAGAAUUCAGUGAAUCAUCGAAUCUUUGAACGCACAUUGCGCCCAUUAGUAUUCUAGUGGGCAUGCCUAUUCGAGCGUCAUUACAACCUUUAAGCCUUGUAGCUUAGCGUUGGGAAUCUACCCCUCACUGAGGGGUAGUUCCUUAAAUUUAGUGGCGGGGUUAUAGCAUACUCUAGGCGUAGUAGUUUCACUCGCUUUCAGGGAGGCUGUAGCUGCUUGCCGUAAAACCCCCUAUAACUUAUAGUGG
rnacentral:rRNA from 1 species